rnacentral:rRNA from 1 species
CUACGUGCCAGCAGCCGCGGUAAUACGUAGGGUGCGAGCGUUAAUCGGAAUUACUGGGCGUAAAGCGAGCGCAGACGGUUACUUAAGCAGGAUGUGAAAUCCCCGGGCUCAACCUGGGAACUGCGUUCUGAACUGGGUGACUAGAGUGUGUCAGAGGGAGGUAGAAUUCCACGUGUAGCAGUGAAAUGCGUAGAGAUGUGGAGGAAUACCGAUGGCGAAGGCAUAUGUCUGGAGUGCAACUGACGCUGAGGCUCGAAAGUGCGGGUAUCGAACAGGAUUAGAUACCCUGGUAGUCCACGCCCUAAACGAUGUCAAUUAGCUGUUGGGCAACUUGAUUGCUUAGUAGCGUAGCUAACGCGUGAAAUUGACCGCCUGGGGAGUACGGUCGCAAGAUUAAAACUCAAAGGAAUUGACGGGGACCCGCACAAGCGGUGGAUGAUGUGGAUUAAUUCGAUGCAACGCGAAGAACCUUACCUGGUCUUGACAU